GGCGAAAAGAGGGAAACAAAGCAAUGGAAAUAUCUUCCUCGCCAGCCCUCUAUCUCAUGGAAAAGAUCUCUCUCUUCCCCGUCUCUUCCCACCCCUCUCCUCUUCCCCAUGCCGCCACCACUUCCCCCAUCCUGACGCCUCGUCUCUUCCACCUCCGCCUCCAUCACCUCCUCCUCCCCUGCCUCCGCACCCGACCACGCGCUGUGGACGAGGAGGCAACAGCUCGGGAGGCAGGCAAGAGGAAAACGGGAGGGAUCCCCUCCCGAGCCCCGCGCCUCUCCUCUUUCCCACUGCGCCGCCAACCCCUUUCCCUCCCAUCUUGAGCUGCUGUAGCUCCUCCCUCAACCCGCGGCGCGCCUUCUUCUCCGACCGUUGUUGCCCGCACUGCUACCGCCACGGCCUGCUACUGCUCCUCCUCCUCCAGCUCCUCGCCCCAGCGACGCUUCCUCCCCUCCUCUCAUGCAAGGCGUAUUGGGGCGUGGAGGCGGCGGGGCAGCAGCCAGUCGUUGCCCUGCAGGGGCAGCAACAGGUCGGCUUUCCUGUUGUGGCGGCGACACGUCUAGAGGAACCGGUCGCCCUUCUCCUGGAUGAGCGACGGAGCCGAAAAGCCGGAACUGACCAUUGAGGAGCUGGGGCAGCCGUGCCACAUAGGAAGGUCGAGGUGGACCAGGAGAAGCUGCACGAGGCUCCAUCGCCUCCUGCUCAAAUUUGGUUUCUCUAUGACUACAUGGUGUUUGAUGAAAAUCCAAGAAGGACGGGGAGGAUUGAUCUAUGCGGAUAAGAGAAGAAAACUGAAACAUGUUCACUAGAGUGUCCUGGGGUGGCCUGCGAGCUACGAGGAUGGGGCUGCGAGACUGGAUUGGCAGCCGACAGCGAGAGAGGAAGGGUGGUUGUUCCUGUGAUGAGGUGGUGAUGAUUGCCAUAGUGGAAUUUUGUAGGUACGACGGCGGCGAGUUUUGAGGGCCUCCGGUUUGGUGGCAGCAUGAGCCUCGUGGAGUUGUCUCAGACAACAUCACAUCUAUUUGUUUUUGUUUCCCCACUUAGACUACUGCUUUGAUUCUGAAGUGUGGAGAUGGAUGUGACUUACCAUGGAGGAAGUGGGUACAAUAUCCAUUUGAAAGAUGCAACAGGCUCAAAAUGAGUUUCCGGUAAGCUUUCAUAUUUCCCUGUUUCAUCCCUCUCUCUAACUAUGACUAUGCAAGCAUUGGUUAAUUACACCCCUCUAAAUCGGGUGUUCCUGUCGUUUUUCUCAUUUGGUAUGCUCUUGUCCUCUCCUUGACCACCACUCAUAUUUAGGUGCAAGUGUAGCUGCAAGCCAGAUUGGUUCUUACAGCAAUAAUCUCUGUUAUGUAUUGGUGUUGAUGUUUUCUUCACUUGGAGAUGCAAAAACCGCCCGAGACAGUUCAGGCCGACGAUUCUCCCUCGCUCGAGGAUUCCAGUAACUAUGAGUUCUAGGUGAAGAUGUAUGUUUCCUACAAACAUUUUCAGUUUGACGAGAGCUUUGCCAUUCAGCUUGAAAAAGUAUGUUCCGUCUAGGACAGAGAACCAUGAGUAUCACCACUGUUGGAGGAAAAAGCUAGAGCAAUUAUGUUUCUACUUUCAUGCAUUAUGGUUGUCUAUUCUGGGAAGGAUAGAGUAAGUUUCCCUUUUAUACAAAGGCACUACUCAGGGUCUUAAUAAGCUCAGGAUUCUCAGGCCAUGGUCUUUGCUCUUUCAGGUUUACAUAUUUCGUAUGCCUAAAUAGUGAAAGUAGUUUAUUUUCAUUUAACUGUUUAUAUGCUAUUCUCUCAUUGUCUGUGUUGGCUAAGAAAUACUAAUGUAAAUAUUCUUCGAUUUGAAAAGUUGUCAUCUCUUAUUUUUUUCGUUUUACCGCUGUCUUGUGCUACAGUUUGUUAGGCAAAUUUAGCUUUCAACUCAACAAUUUGCUUGCUUUCUAAAGCAUGUACUACUAUUGAAGUUCAGUAUAUCAAGUAAUAAUAGUGUGUUAAAAUGAAUAAUACACAUUGAGCUAUAUAUAUUUGCUGCAAUUCGGGCCUGUUGUUGUAAUGUGGUAUAUCUCCUCCCUUGUAAUAUGUAAGGUUGAAGUGACAGUUUAAUAUUCUUCCGCUCAGCAGCACCAAGUACGUGUUUGCAGCCUUUCUGUGCUACAUGUGAGUUCAGUUUACUGCUAACUGUAGUUGUUUAUGGAUUAGUGUAUUUUGUUGUAGGUUAAAUGGAGUUAGUAAGACCAUAUUUGAUGCUGAUCAUAAGAUACCAACGGGCUCCAUGUAAUCCCAAGUGCAUUGCACAACAAUUGUCAUUUUGCAAGAUCUUCUAGAGGGCUAUAUGUCCUACGCUCCUCUUGAUGACAUAUAUGAGGACUCGCAACCCUGAGCCUGGAAGACAACCGUUGAGGCGGUGGUCAUGGGGCAACGAUAGUCGAUAGCUACUAUCAGAACAUAAACGUAUGGCCCUCCUUGUUGCAUUGAAGGAUUAUCGUCUAUUGGAUUUGCAGAACCAGUUAAUGACAAGAUGAUGGCAGUAGCAAUGGAGGGUCGUGGUUUCUGAAUGCUGAGACUUCCAGUUUUUAGGAUGGGUUAUUUAGUAUGAACAAAUAUGCCAACAUUCAUUAGUCGUACUAUUUCUUGAGGUGAUGCCACUGCUACAGGUAUGACAUUAUCAUUGGACCUUCAACUAUAUUUAUAUUAUGUAUAUGCUUCCAGAGAGUACUUUUUUCUGUACUAUAUACUAAAUGAAAAAAAAAUUCUUUUAUGCUAAAACAUGACAUGGCUAAUUAGUAAUUGCACUACAUUCCUGAUAACUUUUAAACUUUUGGAAGACAUGACAGUGUUGAACCUUGAUUAGGUACAUACAUAAAGUACUACCCUUUAACGAUUUGAAAAGGCAUGUCCUGUGAUACAACUCGCCUUGCUAACUGUGCUACAAAGUGUCUAAACCUUGCAUUUUAUAUCAGGAUGGUAAAAUUUCAACAAUACAUCAUCGUUCAAACUAAACUGAACUUGAUAGAGUUUCACUGGAUGCAAAACCACCGUUGAUAAUUUAGCUAAUCGCUCAUGAAGUUGGUGGUUACUCUACACUGCAGAGUACUGUAAAAUAGGAAAACACUAAUAAAUGUUGUAGUUGUAUAUUGACUAUAAGUGAACCAGUUCUAAUUGCUAAUUAAAAUACAAAUGAAGGAACACUUGCGUGAUCAUACUGCAAUUAAUUUAACGUACCUUAGAUUUGAAAGACUGCUUGUUUUCCCCCUUCUAUUGCCAAGUUCAUGGUUUCCUCGUUGUCAUAUUGUUCACAAAGAAUUUUUUCUCCGAGGUUCCUAAACCCAAUAGUUGAAUGCCCCCCAGUCAAAUUUGGGAAUGGAUGCUUUAAUGUAGAAGCCCAUCUAAUUAAAGGAAAUGAGGACAGGGCAACCAUAGCUUACUUGGCAGAAACCUGCUCCGGGUUCGUAUAAGCUGAAUACUGGCGCAAGUUACUUUGAUGAUGGAACAGGUUCAGUUGCUGCAGUGCUUAGAAACUCUCGAGGGGAAGCUAUUGCGGGAGCUUCCGAGCUAAUUGACCAUGUUCUUAAUGCCCAAACUUCUGAAACUUUGGCGCUGUUGCGAGGUUUGAAGCUUCUUUCAGAGAUUGGGUGCACCAAGGUGACAGUCGAAUCAGAUUGUCUAGAACUGAUUGAAGCACGUAGUGGAAAAAUUGAGAUUUUGGGUCCCAAUGUAGCAAUACUUGCAGACUUUUUUCAUAUUGCUCAUGAAAUUCCUGGAAUUUGUUUCAAGCAUUGUCCAAGUGAAGCUAAUGGAUUGGCACAUUUUCUGGCUAGAGGGUAGGCCCAUUGGAUCUGUUGAUGCUACUGUGUUUCGACUUGAGAUCAGAUACUUUUGUUUCAGCGUAAAGGUCGACAAGUGCCACCGCCACUCCCUAUGUUGUUUCUAUUCUAACGCGAUCUACUUGAGACCAGGAGACAAACGUCUUUCACUCCUAUGGGGUCCAACUCCUAAUGAUUGAUGAUGUACAAUGUGUCUAAUUCCAGUUCAAACGUCUUUCACUUGAUUGGCUUGACCCCUUAUUUUGUCUUGCAUAUUUUUAGAUGAUAUUAGUAGUCACUCGAGCAUCAAUUUUUUCUAUGUUCACUUCAAGUUCUUUUCCUUUCAAAAUUAAUCUUCCUUUGUGCUAAAUGUUCUUUCUUACUGAACUAUCACUCCAAUUGUAAGUUGUCUGUUUCGCAUAAAGGUUGGAUAUAUGGUGAUAUGGUAAAUUAAGAAAACAAUUUAUAAUC